rnacentral:ncRNA from 2 species
AGUUAGCAUUAAGAGCCGGUCUACGGACCGCCCCAACCGAGCCUUGCAUAAUGGUCACGGUGGGAAGAAUGGAUGCGAAUUAGACGUUUAACCUAUAAACCAACU